CCUACGGGUGGCAGCAGUGAGGAAUAUUGGUCAAUGGACGCAAGUCUGAACCAGCCAUGCCGCGUGCAGGAUGACUGCUCUAUGAGUUGUAAACUUCUUUUGUACGGGGGUAAACUCAGAUACGCGUACCUUUCUGAAAGUAUCUUACGAAUAAGGAUCGGCUAACUCCGUGCCAGCAGCCGCGGUAAUACGGAGGAUUCAAGCGUUAUCCGGAUUUAUUGGGUUUAAAGGGUGCGUAGGCGGUCGGAUAAGUUAGAGGUGAAAUCCCGAGGCUCAACCGCGGAAUUGCCUCUGAUACUGUUAGGCUAGAGAGUAGUUGCGGUAGGCGGAAUGCAUGGUGUAGCGGUGAAAUGCUUAGAGAUCACACAGAACACCGAUUGCGAAGGCAGCUUACCAAGCUACGUCUGACGUUGAGGCACGAAAGCGUGGGGAGCAAACAGGAUUAGAUACCCUAGUAGUC
rnacentral:rRNA from 1 species